GGAAGGGUGGCAGAGUGGUCGAUUGCGGCGGUCUUGAAAACCGCUGAGGUGAAAGCCUCCGGGGGUUCGAAUCCCUCCCCUUCCGCCA
rnacentral:tRNA from 1 species